CAGACCGGUGAAUUAGUUGGAUGUGGAAAGCCCCGGAGCUCACCUCCGGAAUGGCAUUGGGAAACUGGUUAACUUGAGUGUUGUAGAGGGUAAGUGGAACUCCCAUGUGUAGCGGUGGAAUGCGUAGAUAUAUGGAAGAACACCAGUGGCGAAGGCGGCUUACUGGACAACAACUGACGUUGAGGCUCGAAAAGUGUGGGUAGCAAACAGGAUUAGAUACCCUGGUAGUCCAACACCGUAAAACGAUGAAUACUAGGUGUUAGGAGGUUUCCGCCUCUUAGUGCCGAAGCUAACGCAUUAAGUAUUCCCGCCUGGGGAGUACGACCGCAAGGUUGAAACUCAAAGGAAUUUGACGGGGACCCGCACAAGCGGUGGAGCAUGUGGUUUAAUUCGAAGCAACGCGAAGAACCUUACCAGGUCUUGACAUCCUUUGAAGCUUCUAGAGAUAGAAGUGUUCUCUUCGGAGACAAAGUGACAGGUGGUGCAUGGUCGUCGUCAGCUCGUGUCGUGAGAUGUUGGGUUAAGUCCCGCAACGAGCGCAACCCUUAUUGUUAGUUGCCAGCAUUCAGUUGGGCACUCUAGCGAGACUGCCGGUGACAAACCGGAGGAAGGCGGGGACGACGUCAGAUCAUCAUGCCCCUUAUGACCUGGGCUACACACGUGCUACAAUGGCGUAUACAACGAGUUGCCAACCCGCGAGGGUGAGCUAAUCUCUUAAAGUACGUCUCAGUUCGGACUGCAGUCUGCAACUCGACUGCACGAAGUCGGAAUCGCUAGUAAUCGCGGAUCAGCACGCCGCGGUGAAUACGUUCCCGGGUCUUGUACACACCGCCCGUCACACCAUGGGAGUUUGUAAUGGCCCAAAGCCGUGUGGCGCUAUGCAUCCAGGCUCGGGACUGUACCUGGGGGCGGGCG
rnacentral:rRNA from 1 species